CCUAAAAGUUGCUCUGUUAAUGAAAUAGGAUCCGAGACUCCUUUCAGGGUUACACAGGGGGGUAGGAGAGAGUUUCAGGGUAGGAGAGUCCUACCCAACUCCUAUUCCGUCACGUCCUCGUCGUACAGAGUGGUAACUUUUCCCACCAUAUAUCUAAGCUUGGGUACACGGACCUGUCCCAACCCCUUGGGCGGAUGGUGGAGAAAGGCUAAACAGGAGGAG
rfam:Anopheles stephensi strain SDA-500 unplaced genomic scaffold supercont1.505, whole genome shotgun sequence.